CCUACGGGAGGCAGCAGUGGGGAAUCUUGCGCAAUGGGCGAAAGCCUGACGCAGCAACGCCGCGUGCGGGAUGAAGGCCUUCGGGUCGUAAACCGCUUUCAGUAGGGACGAACUCAGACGGUACCUACAGAAGAAGCACCGGCCAACUACGUGCCAGCAGCCGCGGUAACACGUAGGGUGCAAGCGUUGUCCGGAAUCAUUGGGCGUAAAGAGCUCGUAGGCGGCUUAGUAAGUCGGGUGUGAAACCCCCAGGCUCAACCUGGGGACGCCACCCGAUACUGCUAUAGCUAGAGUCCAGUAGGGGAGUGCGGAAUUUCCGGUGUAGCGGUGAAAUGCGCAGAUAUCGGAAGGAACACCAGCGGCGAAGGCGGCACUCUGGGCUGGUACUGACGCUCAGGAGCGAAAGCGUGGGUAGCGAACAGGAUUAGAUACCCUGGUAG
rnacentral:rRNA from 1 species